rnacentral:rRNA from 1 species
GACGAACGCUGGCGGCGUGCUUAACACAUGCAAGUCGAGCGGAAAGGCCACUUCGGUGGUACUCGAGCGGCGAACGGGUGAGUAACACGUGAGUAAUCUGCCCCUGGCUUUGGGAUAGCCACCGGAAACGGUGAUUAAUACCGGAUACGACCACUUCCCGCAUGGGAUGGUGGUGGAAAGUUUUUUCGGCCAGGGAUGUGCUCGCGGCCUAUCAGCUUGAUUGUGAGGUAAUGGCUCACCAUGGCUUCGACGGGUAGCCGGCCUGAGAGGGUGACCGGUCAAACUGGGACUGAGACACGGCCCAGACUCCUACGGGAGGCAGCAGGGGGGAAUAUUGGACAAUGGGCGGAAGCCUGAUGCAGCAACGCCGCGUGAGGGAUGACGGCCUUCGGGUUGUAAACCUCUUUCAGCAGGGACGAAGCGCAAGUGACGGUACCUGCAGAAGAAGCACCGGCCAACUACGUGCCAGCCGCCGCCGUA